GUGAAUGGAUAGCUAAAAUUGUGGUGUGGGCCUUGCUCAUCAUCCUCAUGUUUUUCCUUCUAAAUGUCAUCAUCACAACUUAUG